rnacentral:rRNA from 1 species
AUGCCCCUCCACUCUCGAUCGACCAUGGCCGAGCACUUCUCGCAACUUCUCCUCCUCUUCCUCCUGCUAGCCAUCACUUCCCUUCCGAUCUCCAUGGCUUCGCUUCACAAGCUCCGUCUCUCAGCCUCCGAAGUUGCCGCGAUCGAGGAGCGCGCGCCGCCUCCGCCGGACCAGCCCACCACCUUCUUCGAGGUGGACCGGCCGCACCGGCCACCGCCGGGCAGCUUCGGCCCAUGCUCCACCGUGCUUCUCUCACACUCCUUCGCUUACACCUACACCAAGCCCCCGGUCACGGCCGCCUACUCCCCGCCGCCGUGCCUCGCCGCCGCGGGUGGACACGCCUCGUUGAUCUCCCUUGCCGUUCUUGAGUGGCGAGCCGCCUGCCGGGGCGUCCAGUACGAUCGCAUCUUCGGAGUCUGGCUCGGCGGCGCCGAGCUCCUCCGCGGCUGCACUGCCGAGCCACGGAGAAACGGCAUCGCGUGGUCCGUGUCCAAGGAUGUCACCAAGUACGCGUCCCUCCUCGCCGCCCGUAACCCCUCCACCCUCGCCGUCUACCUCGGCAACGUCGUCGACGAGCAGUACACCGGCGUGUACCACGCCAACCUCACGCUACACCUCUACUUCCGCCACCCGCCGCAGCCUCCGCAGCCCGGACUGGGCCCCGCCGACGUCAUCGUCCCCGUCUCGCGGAGCCUCCCGCUGAACGACGGCCUGUGGUUCCAGAUUCAGAACGACGAGGACGUCGGUUCAGCGAGCCUCGCCGUGCCGACCAGCGCCUACCGUGCCGUCCUCGAGGUGUACCUCUCGUACCACGCCCACGAUGAGUUCUGGUACACCAACACGAUCGGCAGCAACGGCCCGUUCCGCGAGGUCACCGUCAGCAUCGACGGGGAUCUCGUCGGCGCCGUCUGGCCGUUCCCGGUCAUCUACACCGGCGGCAUCAACCCCCUCCUCUGGCGCCCGAUCACGGGGAUCGGCUCGUUCAAUCUCCCGUCCUACGAUAUCGAGAUCACGCCUUUCUUGGGAAAAUUGCUGGACGGCAAGGCGCACGAGUUUGACCUGUCAGUGACCAACGCCAAGGACGCGUGGUUCAUCGACGCCAACCUCCACCUCUGGCUGGACCCCAGGGGAGCGCCGACGACGGCGAGCACCACCAGCUACGACGCGCCACCGCUGGACACUACCACAGCGUUCCGGCCCGACGGCCCCGGCACCGAGUUCUACUACACGACGGCGUUCCGGCGCAUCUCCGCCACGGGGUGGGUGCAAACGCCGUCCUACGGCAAGAUCACGGCGGCGUGGACGCAGAGGCUCAGCUACGACAACACGAACGAGGUCCAGGGCGACAGCCAGCAGGUGGUGAACCAGACGACCGAAGCGUACUCCGGCGUGCACGUCACUGACCGCGGCGGCAUCGCGUACUCGCAAGAGGCGCAACAGAGCUUCCGGCUCGACGUGUUCGUGGGCGUGGUGAACGAGGCGUUCAACGGCUCGUACACGGUGGCGAGAGACGUCCGGCUGGGGUUCGCCGAGGAGAGGGUCGCCGCCGGCCGCGCGGGGUUCUUCUGGUCUCGGUCGCUGAGCAACGCGCAGGAGUGCGCCGUGAACGUGGACGUGGACGACGAAGGGGACGUGGUCGGGGUGUCGUCGGGCACGAGGCAGAACUACAGGUACGAGGCGACCGACGGGUGCUACUCCCGGGACGUGACCAGCAGCGGUUACAGCAUAGUCUCAGACCACUCCGACGAGGUUUGCGUGAAGGGGUCGUUUCCUUCCGGUGUCGGCGCCGUGGCAUUGCCAGCUUUGGCGCGACGGACGAGCUCGUGA